AUGCAAGCGAAAAAUGAUAUCAUUUGAAAGCAUGCGAAUGACGGGAUAUAUACGGCGAGCUCCGCCUACAAGGCUCAAUUUCUAGGCUUGACCCUCUCCCCCAUGAACGGCAUGGUUUGGAAGGCUUGGGCAUUUUCGAAGGUUAAAUUCUUUGCUUGGUUAGCCUUGCAAGAUAGGAUUUGGACAACCAAUCGUCUGGAGAAGUGUGGUUGGCCAAACUGUGGGCCCGCUUUGCAAGAGGGAACAUGA
rnacentral:rRNA from 1 species